rnacentral:rRNA from 1 species
UACGGAGGAUGCGAGCGUUAUCCGGAAUCAUUGGGUUUAAAGGGUGCGUAGGCGGCCUGUUAAGUCAGCGGUGAAAUCUAGGAGCUUAACUCCUAAAUUGCCAUUGAUACUGGCGGGCUUGAGUGUAGAUGAGGUAGGCGGAAUGCGUGGUGUAGCGGUGGAAUGCAUAGAUAUCACGCAGAACUCCGAUUGCGAAGGCAGCUUACUAAGGUACAACUGACGCUGAAGCACGAAAGCGUGGGUAUCAAACAGG